rnacentral:SRP_RNA from 2 species
UGUUGGUUCUCCCGCAACGCUACUCUGUUUACCAGGUCAGGUCCGGAAGGAAGCAGCCAAGGCAGAUGACGCGUGUGCCGGGAUGUAGCUGCCAGGG